rnacentral:rRNA from 1 species
AGUGAACGCUGGCGGCGUGCCUAACACAUGCAAGUCGAACGGGGUAGUAAUACCUAGUGGCGCACGGGUGAGUAACACGUAGCUAAUCUGCCCUAUAGUGGGGGACAACAGUUGGAAACGACUGCUAAUACCCUAUACUCCGGUAUGACCUAAGUCGUAUCGGGAAAGUUUUUCGCUAUAGGAUGAGGCUGCGGUCUAUCAGCUUGUUGGUGAGGUAACGGCUCACCAAGGCUAUGACGGAUAGCUGGUCUGAGAGGAUGAUCAGCCACACUGGGACUGAGACACGGCCCAGACUCCUACGGGAGGCAGCAGUAGGGAAUAUUGGACAAUGGGGGGAACCCUGAUCCAGCCAUGCCGCGUGAGGGAAGAAGGUCCUCUGGAUUGUAAACCUCUUUUGGCAGGAAACAAACCUGCGCUAUACGCGCAGCUGAGGGUACCUGCAGAAUAAGCACCGGCUAACUCCGUGCCAGCAGCCGCGGUAAAGUAGU